AACGCACAUUGCGCCCCUUGGUAUUCCGGGGGGCAUGCCUGUUCGAGCGUCAUUACACCCCUCAAGCCUGGCUUGGUAUUGGGCUCCGCCGUUUGCUCGGCGGGCCUUAAAAUCAGUGGCGGUGCCUCCGUGGCCCUGAGCGUAGUAAAUAUCCUCGCUUCUGGACCCGGUGGUUGCUGGCCAGUAACCCCCAACUUUCUAAGUUUGACCUCGGAUCAGGUAGGGAUACCCGCUGAACUUAA
rnacentral:misc_RNA from 1 species